rnacentral:rRNA from 1 species
AUGGCAUGCCGGAGGGUCCUGUCGUUGGCGAAUGAACUAAAUGUUCAGAGGAUCAAUCUCGAGACAGAUUCACAAGUGAUGGCGAGAAAGGUCAUGAAUGAAGAGAAGGACUUCUCGGCCAACGGGCGACUGGUGGAGGAGAUAAAAGUGUUACUUGGAUCAUUUACAGACUUUGGGGUUGCUUGGGUGCGACGCUCUGAAAAUAAUGUCGCACACGUCCUACCUAGGGAGGGUUGCUUGAAAUCUUUAUGUAAAACUUGGCUUCAUGUGUCUCCUGAGCGUGUUAGCUCGGGGAUCAUCUGA